GGGAGUGAUUGGUGUGCCUUCCUUAUCGACUUCUGUGAUGAUGGUACGCCCCUUCAACUUUUUCUUCCCGCCUUGUUUCUGUUUAGGCCUUGAUGAGGAUGUAGAUGGCUACAAAAAAAGAUGCAUUAAUUAUAACCAUUGUUGAUAGGUAGAGAAUUGAAAUCAUGUACAUGUAUAUAGUGAUUCAUAUACCUCGGCAAUUUCUUCCUCCUCUUCAACUUGAGCAUCAUCACCGCCAUCACCAGUCAUAUUUAGGUACUGGCUGCCAUCAUCCUCUUUGCCUGAAGCUUCAUCUACUUCUGCGUUCUAGUUGCUGCCUUCAUUAAUAAUAUUUUGAAUGAACUCCUCUUCGUCCCU
rnacentral:lncRNA from 1 species